UACGAAGGGGCUAGCGUUGUUCGGAAUUACUGGGCGUAAAGCGUAUGCAGGCGGAUCGUUAAGUCGGGGGUGAAAUCCCGAGGCUCAACCUCGGAACUGCCUUCGAUACUGGCGAUCUUGAGUCCGGGAGAGGUGAGUGGAACUCCGAGUGUAGAGGUGAAAUUCGUAGAUAUUCGGAAGAACACCAGUGGCGAAGGCGGCUCACUGGCCCGGUACUGACGCUGAGAUACGAAGCGUGGGGAGCAAACAGG
rnacentral:rRNA from 1 species